CUCUCGCUCGUCUUUCCCCACUCUACAUUACUUCGAGGCGACCGGCGGGCGAUUCUCGAUCCCGGCCCGUUCCUGCCGAUUCCUCCCCUCUGGUGCCCUCAUCGGCAUCGGAGGGUGUGGAAUCGGCAAGGAAUCGUGGCCGGUUGUCCAUACCUUCUAUCUAUAGCUUGUAGUUACUAGCUUAAUAGGUUAGGGUUAGAGUUCCUCAUGGCAAUUUGGUCGUUUGGGGAUUUUGGUUCCUUGCCGGCGGCGGGUCUCUGGCGCAGGGUGAGGAGGAUCUCCCUCCGAUGCAGCGUCAUCCUAAUUAAUGCUGCAGUUGGGAGGUUCAUCUUCCUCCUAGAUGGAGACGAAGAGGAAGGCGUCAUGGACGUCGAUCUUUCCUCUGCUCCGUCUCGGAGGUACCCUUCUCCUGGUGGCUUUGGGCUUAUGCCACUGGUGUUUUUGUCCCUCCUGAGCAUCUUCGGCAGCUGCGCUUGUGGCGUCGCGACUGCUGGAGCGGCUUCUGUGAGCGAGCCGGGGUUGUUGGUGAUUGAGACGCCAGAUCCCUUGUUCACCGGCGAGAUGAUGGCCUUUGGUCAUCUCGAUUGGCAUGUUCGUUCAGUGAUCAAAAGGCAUGUCGGUCUCCCUGAUGUGCUGCUUAUGGUGCCGCUAAAAUUAUCUGCUGUUCUUCGUCGGUAUGGCGGUCGGCUUCACGGGCGGCAGCUUCGAUCGUCGGCGACGAGGCAGACCGGGAGUAUCUUGCAAGGGCGUGGAUGUAUUUUGUAUUUCUUUCAGAGUUGCCUUUGUAAGUUUGGAAAUGUAAGCUACCAGAAAUUUAAGUGAAUAUAAUCCCGGUUUCU